rnacentral:rRNA from 1 species
ACGUAGGUGGCAAGCGUUAUCCGGAAUUACUGGGCGUAAAGGGUGCGCAGGCGGCCGGGUGUGUCAGAUGUGAAAUCCCGAGGCUUAACCUCGGAACUGCGUCUGAAACUACUCGGCUAGAGUAUUGGAGAGGGUAACGGAAUUCACGGUGUAGCAGUGAAAUGCGUAGAUAUCGUGAGGAACACCAGAGGCGAAGGCGGUUACCUGGACAAUUACUGACGCUCAGGCACGAAAGCGUGGGGAGCAAAAGGGA